UACGUAGGGUGCGAGCGUUAAUCGGAAUUACUGGGCGUAAAGCGUGCGCAGGCGGCGCGUUAAGACAGGUGUGAAAGCCCCGGGCUCAACCUGGGAAUUGCAUUUGAGACUGCAUAGCUAGGGUGCGGAAGAGGGAAGCGGAAUUUCCGGUGUAGCGGUGAAAUGCGUAGAUAUCGGAAGGAACAUCAGUGGCGAAAGCGGCUUCCUGGUCCAGCACCGACGUUCAGGCACGAAAGCGUGGGGAGCAAACAGG
rnacentral:rRNA from 1 species